rnacentral:rRNA from 1 species
UCUCAGUACAAGCCAAAUUAAGGUGAAACCGCGAAAGGCUCAUUAAAUCAGUUAUGGUUCCUUAGAUCGUACCCACAUUUACUUGGAUAACUGUGGUAAUUCUAGAGCUAAUACAUGCAAACAGAGCUCCGACCGGAGACGGAAGGAGUGCUUUUAUUAGAUCAAAACCAAUCGGCGGCAGUAUAGUUUCGGCUUUAUUGUUCGUCGCACUUUUUGGUGACUCUGAAUAACUUUUGGCUGAUCGCACGGUCUUGCACCGGCGACGCAUCUUUCAAAUGUCUGCCUUAUCAACUGUCGAUGGUAGGUUCUGCGCCUACCAUGGUUGUAACGGGUAACGGGGAAUCAGGGUUCGAUUCCGGAGAGGGAGCCUGAGAAACGGCUACCACAUCCAAGGAAGGCAGCAGGCGCGCAAAUUACCCACUCCCGGCACGGGGAGGUAGUGACGAAAAAUAACGAUACGGGACUCAUCCGAGGCCCCGUAAUCGGAAUGAGUACACUUUAAAUCCUUUAACGAGGACCAAUUGGAGGGCAAGUCUGGUGCCAGCAGCCGCGGUAAUUCCAGCUCCAAUAGCGUAU